rnacentral:rRNA from 1 species
UACGUAGGGACCAAGCGUUGUUCGGAUUUACUGGGCGUAAAGGGCGCGUAGGCGGCUUGUCAAGUCACUUGUGAAAUCUCUGGGCUUAACCCAGAACGGCCAAGUGAAACUGACAUGCUAGAGUGCAGGAGGGGCAAUCGGAAUUCUUGGUGUAGCGGUGAAAUGCGUAGAUAUGCGGAGGAACACCGAUGGCGAAGGCAAUCCCCUGGGCCUGCACUGACGCUCAUGCACGAAAGCGUGGGGAGCAAACAGG